rnacentral:lncRNA from 1 species
UUUUUUUUUGUUUUUUUUUUUUUUGUUUUUGUUUUUGUCUUUUUGCUAUUUUCUUGGGGCCGCUCCCGCGGCAUGUGGAGGUUCCCAGGAUGACUUGUUCAAUGGAAUACAAAAAAGAAACAGAACAGUAUUAUUAUGUGCUCCAUUGAUAGAAAAAGAAUGUAUCCCUGUGUGCUCAUCUAUAUAAAUUAUAUCUCUAGACGUUGCCCAAGAGACAGGUGACAGUGAUGGCUCUGGAGAGGAAGCUAGUUGUCUUGGAGACAAGAAUAGGAGGGAUAUUUAGUUUCACUGAAUGCCCUCUUAUGCCUUUUAAGUGUUGUACACUGUGCAUACUUUUUUUGGGAUAAAUACAUUAUUUUAAAAAGAUGGGUGUUAUUGUCAAAUAGUUAUGUAUUUGAAUCUUAGUUGACUACUUUUCUAGAUGUGUUAUUUUAGGCAGAAUCCUUUAAAAAAUAUAUUUUCUCUAUUUUUGGUACUAUAAAACAAAUUGAAUAAAAACACAGAAGAAAAUAACAGUUAUCUAUACUCCCACUUUCAGAAUUAACCCCUGUUAAUAUCCUAGCAAAUAUGCUUCCAUUUUUCAAAGAAAAAUGACUACAGUGAAAAAAGGACACACAGAUUAGGAACUCAAACAAUGCAAAAAGCGCAAAAAUUGAAGUAAAAAAACCACCCUAUAUUCUACAUCCAACAAUGGUAAUGAUGACUGUCACUUCCUAACCAACUUCCUCGGUGUUUCUAAACCCCACCUUUCCUCAACACAGACAUUGUAUGAGGAGAGAAUGAAACACUGAAUGUGAAGAUGGCAGCAGUAGGAAGGAAGCAGUUAAUUAAUGCCAUUGUUAUUACAGGGCAUACACUGUAGUGUCGUCAGUGAUACCACCGUCACCUGUCACAAAUAUUAUUUGCAUAGGGCCCAAACUAGUAUGUGGGACCAGUGGACCUUGAUUCAAUUCCUCUCUGGGUAAUUGUCACUGAACCAGUGCAGUCAAAGGUGUUGAGAGGAACUAGCUGAUGGAUGAGGUGGGAAAAUGAUGAUUAUUAGACACAAAAUCAUCCUGUGAUUACAGAGAAGAAAUUCUUUCUCUUCAAAACUCACCAACCAGUCACAGUAAAAUAUAAAAAGAAGAUUUCAAUAAAAGCAAAGGGUGACUUGAUCACUUCAGUAAGGAAACUGUAAAUUCAGAAGGAAGUCUUAAAUGUCAAAAAUGUCUUUUUUUUUUUAAAUUGGUUUAUUCAAAUAUACAGUUCUCAGUCAAUUUUUGAUUCAGGGAGACAUGAUCCAAAUAUCUAGCAAGGUUUUAAGGUUGAAGUCUAUGCCUACUGUUUAAGCAACUGACCAUAUUGUGACUAUUACUAUCGAAUCUUUCUUCAUCCCAAACUCAAUUUAGAAACAUUCGAGUGCUGUGCAUAUUCCCAUCUAUGUCAGAGUAUGGCUGUCAGAUAGUUAUUGACUGAAAGCCAGCAGUAGUUGGCAAAAAUUAUGUCUAUGCAGUGCACAUCAAGUGGUUUGUGUCAAUGCAUGUGAAGUAAAAAUUAGCACUGCAUUGAUGGUAACCAGUCAAGAAACAAUGUGGAUAAAGACAAGAGACAAGAUACAAUUGGACUUGCCAUGUGGGAAUGGUCUGAUGGAAUGAGUAGAAUGCCUAAACUAGAAUGUCAAUAAACAUAAAAGGCAGUGCCAAGUUCUGACAUUUGUACAUCAAGGUGCAUUGCUGAUGAAACAUUAAAGGAGACUGGGAUAUUGCCACUGUCUCUUUUCAUCUAUACACUGGCAAGUACGGUUAGAAGGAUUUUCCCUUUGGCUCUUUUGUCUGUAAUUAACAUAUAUUACUCCAGGAGGCAGUAAUCACCUUAAUUCAUGCACUUAUCUGGUCUGAAAUUCCAGGUUUAGCACACAAAUGGGAAGUGAAUUACAAAAAAAUUUUUUAUUGUUUCAUAAAAAAAAGGUAGUCAGGCAUAUCCUUUAUAGAAAUAUAUCACUAAUUCUUAGAAUGCUUAAAAUUCCCAAUCUUUCUCUCUUUUUUUUUAGGGCAUCAAAGGGAGAAACCUCAGCACCCUCAUACAUCUGCUUUAAUGUCAAAACAUCAGCCUUAAGGAUUCUGCUUGG